rnacentral:rRNA from 1 species
UACGUAGGGUGCGAGCGUUUGUCCGGAAUUAUUGGGCGUAAAGGGCUCGUAGGCGGUCUGUCGCGUCGAAAGUGAAAACUCAGGGCUUAACCCUGAGCCUGCUUCCGAUACGGGCAGACUAGAGGUAUGCAGGGGAGAACGGAAUUCCUGGUGUAGCGGUGGAAUGCGCAGAUAUCAGGAGGAACACCGGUGGCGAAGGCGGUUCUCUGGGCAUUACCUGACGCUGAGGAGCGAAAGUGUGGGGAGCGAACAGG